rnacentral:rRNA from 1 species
AUUGAACGCUGGCGGCAUGCUUUACACAUGCAAGUCGAACGGUACAGGCCGCAAGGUGCUGACGAGUGGCGAACGGGUGAGUAAUGCAUCGGAACGUGCCCAGUCGUGGGGGAUAACUACUCGAAAGAGUAGCUAAUACCGCAUACGAUCUAUGGAUGAAAGCGGGGGACCGUAAGGCCUCGCGCGAUUGGAGCGGCCGAUGUCAGAUUAGGUAGUUGGUGGGGUAAAGGCUCACCAAGCCAACGAUCUGUAGCUGGUCUGAGAGGACGACCAGCCACACUGGGACUGAGACACGGCCCAGACUCCUACGGGAGGCAGCAGUGGGGAAUUUUGGACAAUGGGCGCAAGCCUGAUCCAGCAAUGCCGCGUGCAGGAAGAAGGCCUUCGGGUUGUAAACUGCUUUUGUACGGAACGAAACGGCUCUGGUUAAUACCCGGGGCUAAUGACGGUACCGUAAGAAUAAGCACCGGCUAACUACGUG